GCCAAGCUGGAGAUCUCCCCUGGCCCCCUGGAUAGCGCUCCCUGCCGGGACCGGGCCCCCACAUCCCACGGAGGUUCCCAUGAUGUCAGACCCAUCAGCAGACGACUCACAAUGACCUAGCGGCGAGCAGGGGCAAGGUGUAGCACGACCACUUAUGUAUAUAGUUCGCAUGGGGCCCUAUGACCUGCCCCUUCUCCCCAGUUGUACCAGCACCUGUGCACCUCCCCCCCGGACCCUGUUACGAGGGCCUGGGAACCCUAAACGUUGCUCCCUACGUUUACCCCUAUCGGGGUUUGUAAACAACCGAGCUGCCCAACUAUAGCUAGUCACUGCCCACCUCUGGCGCCCUAUAGAACGACCACUUCUACCCCACGACCUGACUCUUGCCGCUG